rnacentral:tRNA from 1 species
UAGCUCAGUGGUAGAGUGCUUGCCUUGCAUGCAUGAGGUCCUGGGUUCGAUUCCUCAG